rnacentral:rRNA from 1 species
GCGGACAGAUGGGAGCUUGCUCCCUGAUGUUAGCGGCGGACGGGUGAGUAACACGUGGGUAACCUGCCUGUAAGACUGGGAUAACUCCGGGAAACCGGGGCUAAUACCGGAUGCUUGUUUGAACCGCAUGGUUCAAACAUAAAAGGUGGCUUCGGCUACCACUUACAGAUGGACCCGCGGCGCAUUAGCUAGUUGGUGAGGUAAUGGCUCACCAAGGCAACGAUGCGUAGCCGACCUGAGAGGGUGAUCGGCCACACUGGGACUGAGACACGGCCCAGACUCCUACGGGAGGCAGCAGUAGGGAAUCUUCCGCAAUGGACGAAAGUCUGACGGAGCAACGCCGCGUGAGUGAUGAAGGUUUUCGGAUCGUAAAGCUCUAUUGUUAGGGAAGAACAAGUACCGUUCGAAUAGGGCGGUACCUUGACGGUACCUAACCAGAAAGCCACGGCUAACUACGUGCCAGCAGCCGCGGUAAUACGUAGGUGGCAAGCGUUGUCCGGAAUUAUUGGGCGUAAAGGGCUCGCAGGCGGUUUCUUAAGUCUGAUGUGAAAGCCCCCGGCUCAACCGGGGAGGGUCAUUGGAAACUGGGGAACUUGAGUGCAGAAGAGGAGAGUGGAAUUCCACGUGUAACGGUGAAAUGCGUAGAGAUGUGGAGGAACACCAGUGGCGAAGGCGACUCUCUGGUCUGUAACUGACGCUGAGGAGCGAAAGCGUGGGGAGCGAACAGGAU